GUAGCAGUUCUAGACUUAGAAAUCCACUGUCAGGGCCAGCUGCUGAGGUCGAGCUAUUAUUCAUCCCCAGGACCAGACAACAAAAUAUGAUGGUCAGAAUGAUGACCCCAUCCCAGCAUUACACAAUGAUGAAAUCAUCAAAUAAAGGGCCCUUUGUCUUGCUGCCUGAAUCCAGCCUGGCCAGAGACUGAACAGCUUAUCAAGACAGGAGGCAUGCCAUCUAGAUACAGCUACCCAACAAAUCUCUUUGCACCACAAACGACACAUCUCCCUGCUUUUGCUAAGUCUCAUUUUGGAGGUAACUACACCACCGAUCUCAGUGUCAACACACGUUGAAAGAAGACUCAUCAAAAUGCCCAGCCAUCAAAUUAAAGCCUCAAAUGCAACACUCCCCUGUGUGCUAUAUGAAGAAGUAAAAAUGGAACUGAAGAAAACAGAGGAGAAGAACACAGGACUAGACCACACAUCCGGAGAAGACGUAGGUGCCAGAGGAAAUGACAGGAUUUUGAAGAAUGGAGGAUACCAAAUGUUUGGGGAAAAAUCCAUCAAAUUAAAAAGGCAACCAGGGAAACAGCAAUCACAUCUGAGUCACAUACUUACAUUCACAGCUUUACAAAAUGUUUUUAAUAAAUGUUUUCAUUAAUAAAAAUAUAACCAUCACUUCCUAAUGGUGCCCCACCACCCACCAAUAGAAUCCUCCCUUGUAACAAAGAAGUAUAAAGAAAACAUG